rnacentral:rRNA from 1 species
GACGAACGCUGGCGGCGUGCUUAACACAUGCAAGUCGAGCGGAAAGGCCACUUCGGUGGUACUCGAGCGGCGAACGGGUGAGUAACACGUGGGUAAUCUGCCCCUGGCUUUGGGUAUAGCCACCGGAAACGGUGAUUAAUACCGGAUAUGACCACUUCACGCAUGUGAUGGUGGUGGAAAGUUUUCGGUCCAGGGAUGUGCUCGCGGCCUAUCAGCUUGAUGGUGAGGUAAUGGCUCACCAUGGCUU